GUGGCUCAGAGGGGUAAGGACCGGAUGUUGUCUCUAUGAGGAUGCAGGCUGGAUCCCUGGCCUCGCUCAUGUGUUUGCUCAUGCCAAGAGGCAGCUCCUUCUGCAGAGAUUUUUUUUCUUUCCUACCUAGAUACCUUCUAUUGGCGCUCAGAAGUUUGCCUCAGGUGUCACCAUUUUUGUCUACCUUCUCCAAAUCCUUAUUUAUCAACCCCACCCCUUGUUCAGCACCUGAGUCAACUGAUUGCUUCUUACAGUUUCCCAUAAUGCUUUCUGAAAAAAAUACAGAUAUUGAAAUAAAGUACAGAGCCAGUUGAAGAGGACACAGAGCUGGAAAGUAGAUCAAUUAACUCCAAACUCAAAUAAUAUAGUGGUCUGUAGUGGCAGAAUGUUGUCUGCAUGCUACUUGGCUCUGAAGAAAGGAGUCUGCAUAUGGUGGCCAGAUGAUGUUUCAUGCCAUCUGUUUAACAGGGUGAUCUCAAACACACUUGCAAAGAAUCUAUUCUAGAUAUUAAAAUUAAAGAGACUUCUGCUUAUGCCAAAGCUAAAAACCAGAUUUGCAAUCCUGCCUAAAACAAAAACAAAUAACUAAAACCCGAGCAAAAUAUAUGACGUAAUGAUUUUCAAGGCACAAGGGACAAGGGAUGCCAACAAGUGAGGAACAGAUGAGAAGAGGUCUGAGUGCCCCAGCGCACUGCUUUGAGGGUUGCCAGGCUGCGGUGUGGGAAGGGGGAAACCAGGCAGAGGUCCGCCAAGCAUCCAGGGUGACCGGAGCUCCCAGGAAAGAAGAGAACCUUACCCAGAGAGAGGGCACCCCUGACAUGGGAUAGGCCCUCAUUAUUAUUAUUGCUUUUUUAGGGCCACACCCAUGGCAUAUGGAGGUUCCCAGGCUAGGGGUCGAAUUGAAGCUACAGCUGCCAGCCUAGGCCACAGCCACAGCAACAUGGGAUUGGAACAUCUGUGACCUACACCACAGCUCACAGCCACACCGUAUCCUUAACCCAGUGAUCG
ensembl:lncRNA